rnacentral:lncRNA from 1 species
CACAUUGAUAUCAUUAUGAAGCAGUCUUGUGUAAUAGCCUUGCGACUGAUAUUGUGUUUCUGACGGAUAUAAAUCUUUCUCGAUGUAUACCGACACAUCCAUAAUGUACAAAUAGUCCAAUUAAUUCCUCUAAUGAUUCAUUAUCUACUAUAUCGUGAACAAUAUAUUCAUUCGCUCCCGUAGGGCAUCGAAUUGUGAAUUUAAGACGACAUUUUUUUCUAUUACAAUUUACUAAACGAUACAUUCUCAUCUCAAAAUUCAUAUAUGUCGUAUCUCAACAAAUCGCGAUCAAUUUCUUUCGACCGACGACAUAUCGGGGAUCAUUUCCAUCAAUUACUAACUGUUCAUCCCAAUGAAUACUAAGAGACAUCCGACGACUAGCCAUUUUAACUACACAGAAAAAAAAACUUUCAAAUCUUCUCUCAAAAUAUAUAGUGAAUAUAAUACAAAAGUUUAAACCCAAACUAGGCUAAUGGCUAAUUUAAAACUAGUUUAAACUACAAACUCAUCAAAAAGUUUAAACCUAAACUCGGCUAAUGGCUAGUUUAAACCUAAUUUAAACUAGGUUUAAACCUAGUUUAAACUACGAGCUCGUCAAAAAGUUUAAAUCUAAACAGUUUAAACUAGGUUUUAAACCUACUCUAAACUAUGCUAAUAACUGCAGCUGAGAGAGCUACUUGCAAUGUGGGUUGCUGAGGGAGGUUGGCACAAGCGGCGGAUGCAGCGGUCGACGGUGACCGGCGGGGUCGACGGCGACCGGCGGGGGUGAUGUCGGCAAGGGCGACGGCGACCGGCGAGGGCUCCUGGAGAGGGAGGGGCAGAGAGAGAGAGAGAGAUAGAGAGAGAACGAGAGAGAGAGAGGGCGAAAGCGCUAGAGGGAAGGAGAGGUGUUGGAGUCGGACUAGGCCCUAGGUAUACCUAAUAAAGACGGUGAAUGAUUCACUGUCUUCAUAAGGUGGUGAAUCGUUCACCGCCUUAUGAAGACGGUGAACGAUUCACCGUCUUUUCUAGGGCACGGCACGCCUACGAAGGCGGACCUGUGUUGCACUAAAGGCGAUGAACUAUUCACCGUCUUAUGAAGACGGUAAACUAUUCACCGUCUUAUCAAGAGCACAAUACUCAGGACUUGCAAAGAUUUUAGGUGCAGUGUGGGUUUUGCUGUGAAUCAUUCACCGCUUUCACAACAAAUAUUACAAAGACGGUGAACGAUUCACUAUCUUUAUGAGAAAACCCUGACAUGCGAAAGGAGGGUUAGUU